rnacentral:rRNA from 1 species
GAUGAACGCUGGCGGCGUGCUUAACACAUGCAAGUCGAGCGACCAGACGAGGUGCUUGCUCCUUCCACGUGACCGGCGGAUGGGUGAUUAACACGUAGGUAACCUACCUAUAAGACUGGGACAACUUAGGGAAACUGGAUCUAACAUCGGAUAAGAUUUCGAACCGCAUGGUUCGUUAGUGAAAGAUGUCUUUGCUAUCACUUAUAGAUGGUCCUGCGGCGUAUUAGCUAGUUGGUACGGUAACGGCUUACCAAGGCGACGAUACGUAGCCGACCUGAGAGGGUGAUCAGCCACACUGGGACUGAGACACGGUCCAGACUCCUACGGGAGGCAGCAGUGGGGAAUGUUGCACAAUGGGCGAAAGCCUGACGGAGCAACGCCGCGUGAGUGAUGAAGGUCUUCGGGUCGUAAAGCACUUUUGGUGGGAAAGAAAAGGACUGUAAGAAAAUCUGCGCUCGAUGACGGUACCCGAAGAAAAAGCACCGGCUAACUACGUG